rnacentral:miRNA from 1 species
ACACACACACACACACACACACACACAUAUACAGACAUACAUACAUACAUAUGUGUGUGUAUAUGUGUGUGUGUGUGUGUGUGUGUGUGUAU